rnacentral:sRNA from 1 species
AUCUGCUCUGGUUGUCAUAGCAACGCUGUAGCCAACUUCCCAGCUGAACUUUUACCAGACACAAGCACAUUUUCCUGCCCUGCCCUUCACUGGGCAGAGCUGAGACGGACCAGAGUGUGGGCUGUACUGAAAGGCCUCUACAGUGGUCGGUGACCCCAGGAAGGGAAGGCCGCCCCACUUGUGUGGGCUGCUCUACCAGACAGGGCCUUAUGACUCACGGAGCCCUCUUCAGACAGCAGGACUGGGUGCUUAGGUAUUGUCUUUCCGGACGACAGUGAGGGAAGUCUGAGCUAAACAGAAAAUACCGGCUCUUGCCUCUCGGAGAAUACAGAUACAGCACAGAGAGUAAUGCACUCGCUGCGUGUGGGUGUUUUGACUGGGGAUGGUGUCUAUGCACUGGGCAUGCCUGAUGCAUCACAUCUCCUGGAGCUGGAGUUACAGCUGCCAAAUGGGGGCUGGGAAUCAAACCUGGUGACCACAGCAGCACACCUCCCUAAAUGACUGCACGCCAGGCUGGUGAACACUAACCUCCAAGACAGAAGUCACUUGUCACCCGGACUCUCAGAUACCCUGCCUCUAAGGCAGAGAAUGCUAUAUGCUUCCUCUGCCUCUGUCUGGGAUCUGAGACGUGAGCUGCUGCUUUGAACGGCUACCCGCUCCCUCUACUCCAACGUGGACUCCAAUCCACAACUCUAGGCCCUAAACCUUUCCUUCUGCAACUUGCCAAGGUCAAAUCCAAACAAACCAAGUAACGGCUGCAACAAUGAUAAAGCAUGGAGCCAAACACCCCGCGCCAACGUGCGGCAUCUAAGCCCCGCCCAGUGCAGCUGCAGAAUCCGUGGUUUCAUCGCAGCUACAGCAGAGUCUCCCAUGGCUUGAGACGGCCUGGAACUCACUCUACCAGCAAGGAUAACCUUGAACUUCUGAUCCUACUGCCUUCACCUCUUGGACAAGAACAAUCACACUGCCAUCCACAGAAAUCCUGGCAGAUGUGUCCUGUGCUGAGAAUGGACAUUUGGACCAACAGGAUGGAGAGGAGAUUCCACAAAUGAACCCUCCUGAUUCCCCCAUUAACACUGAUUCCAGGUAAUCAUGGCGAGAGGGUUCCGAGAAAACGGACUAUUCCAAGUGACUCUGGGUUGAAUGAAUGAAUGGAUGGAUGGCUACAUGUUGCAGUAAUUUCCAACCCCGAUAGUCCUGUACAAAGAUCACACAACCCAGUUAUUAUAUUUAUAAGCGAUAACCCUAGAUCCGGCAGAACUGGCAACUACACUAACUUAUUCCCCAGCAAUGAGACCCUUUGCUAGCGGCAGUUUCUCCUGGCCACGUGGUUCUGCUCCAUCUUGGAUUCCUCCUCUUCUGUCCUUUCUCCUUCCCUCCUCAUACUUCUCUCUCCACCUCCCCCCCCUCUCAAAGACCUCCCACUCCACCUUUCCCCUCCACUGGCCAAUCACAGGCUCUCAAAGACCUCCCACUCCACCUUUCCCCUCCACUGGCCAAUCACAGGCUCUCAAAGACCUCCCACUCCACCUUUCCCCUCCACUGGCCAAUCACAGGCUCUCAAAGACCUCCCACUCCACCUUUCCCCUCCACUGGCCAAUCACAGGCUCUCAAAGACCUCCCACUCCACCUUUCCCCUCCACUGGCCAAUCACAGGCUCUAGCCUUUAUUGACCAGUAAAUGGGGGAGAAGGUUCACAUGAGAUCGCCUAAGGAUGCGAUGGACUGCUCUUCUGUGGUUGCCCCUCUGGAGGAAGCAAAUUAACAUCAGAAUUCACCAGCAUCAGGACAACUCACAGCAGCUGCGUACAGUUAUCUACACGGAAGAGAUGAGGUGCUAACGGAAGCCCAAAGACAGAGUCACAUCCUCUGGAGCUAAAGUUACAGGCAACUGUGAACCGUCUGACACAGGUGCUGGGAACUGAGCUGAACUCCAGCCCUCUGCAAGAGCAGUUAGCACUCUCAUCACCUCAGCCCCUGGUUUUCCUUUGAGAUGAUAAAAGUGCUCCAAAAAUCAGAUUAUGGCGAUGGGCACAAUGCUGUGAGUGCAAAAACCUGAGUGUGUACUUUAAAUAGAUGAAUUGUAUGGUACGUAAAUUCUACAUCUAGGAAACUAUUUAAAUAAAACCAACACUCACUGAUCCGUAUGGACAUAAAGAAAACUGGACUGCGGAAGCUCAGUGCGAUAAUGCAUUUACGUUGCUCACCCCGGCCUCCUUGCUUGCAGGGCGCGAGAGCAGCGAGGGGCCACUGUGAACUGCUGUGGCUGAAGAUGCCAUGCAAGAAUAAAGGCAGCAGCACAUGCGGACAGUGUCGACUUGACACUAACUGUAGUGCCCCCUUCGGCCCCUGCUUUAGAGAACAGCAGACAGAUUUUGUAUUUUGAGCACCGUCUUUACUCCCACUGUCAAAAUCAAGAUUCCUCCUGUCUGAAAGGAGGAAACCCCUGCUGACCCUUCCAGGUAACCAGGAUGGUGAGAGGCAGGACAAGGUCCUCUAGAGUCACACCGAGUGUGACUUCAGGCUGAACUGCCUGGACCCUGUGACCUAAGACAUUUCUCACCCCACCCCCACCCCUCGUGGUGAGGGUUUUGUUCUCCUAUAUUGUCUACUUCCUCUAAUUGCCCAUUUGUGCCUAAUUGGCACACAUUCUCCCUAAAUGAGUUUGCUUAGCAUCCUGACACGCCGACUUAAAUAUUGGUGAUGUUUUCCAAGAGCCUUAUCUCGCUAAGCUCCGAGACAGUUUAAUGCUCGAAUCCUCCAGUCCCUGAAUAUCUGAAACAAUUCAUCUACCUGAGAACCAUUUGGGCCAUUGCAAGCUGAGUCUCUUUUGAUUAUUGGUCUGUUAAGAAUCCUUAUCUUUGAGAGGGUGAAUUUUGGUAAUCCCUGUGUAUUCCUAAGAUAAUGAUGUUAUCCAGGUUUCAAUUUAACAUGCAUCUAAGUGUAUCAAGGAGUCCAUGAAAUGACUUUUAAUGCUCCAGAAUCUCUCAUUAAUUCUCCUGUCUUUCCUUAUUUUUAAUUCCUCCAUAUUUUUCUCUCCCUCUUCCUCCUCCUCCUGCCUCCUCAUUCCCCCCCCCCUCCUCCUCUUUCUUCUGGGUUUGGUUUUUCGUCUUUCCCCUCAAGAAUCCAAUUUUCUGGCUGGAAACUCCCUAUAUAGACCAGGCUGGACUUAAUCUUGCAGCCAUUCACCAGCCUUUGCUUCUUGGAUGCUGAGAUUAUAGACAGGCACCACUGCACCUGGCUCUCUGUUUAAAGUGAAUGGUUUGUGCCAAUUUUCGAAACCAUUUCCUCUUUUUUCCUGUCAUCCAUUA